UCGCACGUCUCGUCCGUCAACACGGAGAUGAAUCACAGAUUGGAGGAAUUUACUGGACUCGAGCGGAUGUUUGGGAUCGCUGGGAGGCCUUGUCUUCCUCUUAGUUUUCAUGCAUUUUGGUGAUAGACGUACCUGUAAAGGAAUCGGAAGCAGAAAGAGAGCGGAUGAGUGGAAAGUAUCGGAAAAACACCACAGAAGUCAGUGGUGGUGUGGACACGCCAGGAGCAGAUUUGGGAUAUUUGGAGAAAUGAUGGGGGAGAUUUGAUCAUUUGAGGACCUCAAACACCAGCCGUCCGAGCUCUCCCAUGCACAGUGAGAUUGAAUUCUCCAGUUUGGAAAUCACUUUAAGAAGAUGAAACACACCUUGGCUGGAUUCCUGCUGUAUCCACAACCGCCCCCAUGACACACACACACACACACACAAGCUAAACCAGUCUGUGAAAGAUAUGAGCUAUAGUCAUGAUGAACAGAGCGCAACACCCUGAACUUUGUAAUUAUGAUGAUCACACAGGGCUGUAAUUCUCACUCGACACACUUAACACUUUAGCUCGGCCUUGCUGGCAUGAACACGCCACACCAAUAAAUAUACAUUCCUGCUCUCCUUUCUCCAAAGAUUAAAGCGCCGUUUCAUGUGCUCAAAUCUGAAGCUGACGUGUCUGUGUCUGGUUUUAUCGGCACACAGUAGGCUUGUGCUGUGAGCUCUUCAGUGUAAAGUCAUACUGAUGAGUUGGUUUACAAUAUACAAAGUGCUGGUAAGAUAAAACAGUGCUUCCCAACGAGGAUACUUGCACGUGAUAAGGUAC
ensembl:lncRNA